GACGAACGCUGGCGGCGUGCUUAACACAUGCAAGUCGAACGGUAAGGCCCUUCGGGGUACACGAGUGGCGAACGGGGGAGUAACACGUGGGUGAUCUGCCCUGCACUUCGGGAUAAGCCUGGGAAACUGGGUCUAAUACCGGAUAGGACCACUGCCUGCAUGGGUGGUGGUGGAAAGCUUUUGCGGUGUGGGAUGGGCCCGCGGCCUAUCAGCUUGUUGGUGGGGUGAUGGCCUACCAAGGCGACGACGGGUAGCCGGCCUGAGAGGGUGAACGGCGACACUGGGACUGAGAUACGGCCCAGACGCCUACGGGAGGCAGCAGUGGGGAAUAUUGCACAAUGGGCGCAAGCCUGAUGCAGCGGCGCCGCGUUAGGGAUGCCGGCCUUCGGGUUGUAAACCUCUUUCAGCACCGACGAAGCGCAAGUGACGGUAGGUGCAGAAGAAGGACCGGCCAACUACGUGCCAGCCGCCGCAGUAA
rnacentral:rRNA from 1 species